UACGUAGGGUCCGAGCGUUGUCCGGAUUUACUGGGCGUAAAGGGCGCGUAGGCGGCCACCGCAAGUCAGUUGUGAAAUCUCUGGGCUUAACCCAGAAAGGUCAACUGAUACUGCGGGGCUAGAGUGCAGAAGGGGCAACUGGAAUUCUCGGUGUAGCGGUGAAAUGCGUAGAUAUCGAGAGGAACACCUGCGGCGAAGGCGGGUUGCUGGGCUGACACUGACGCUGAAGCGCGAAAGCUAGGGGAGCGAACGGG
rnacentral:rRNA from 1 species